CCUUCCGGCCUUUUUACCAAAACACAGCACUUUGCCAACUCGUAAGAGGAAGUAUAAGGUGUGACGCCUGCCCGGUGCUCGAAGGUUAAGAGGAUGCGUCAGUCGCAAGAUGAAGCGUUGAAUUGAAGCCCGAGUAAACGGCGGCCGUAACUAUAACGGUCCUAAGGUAGCGAAAUUCCUUGUCGGUUAAAUACCGACCUGCAUGAAUGGCGUAACGAGAUGGGAGCUGUCUCAACCAGAGAUUCAGUGAAAUUGUAGUGGAGGUGAAAAUUCCUCCUACCCGCGGCAAGACGGAAAGACCCCGUGGACCUUUACUACAACUUAGCACUGCUAAUGGGAAUAUCAUGCGCAGGAUAGGUGGGAGGCUUUGAAGUAAGGGCUUUGGCUCUUAUGGAGA
rnacentral:rRNA from 1 species